rnacentral:tRNA from 1 species
GCCUCGUUAGCUCAGUGGCAGAGCAUUGAUCUCGCAAACCAAGAGUCGAGGGUUCAAAUCCCUCACAAGGCU